CCUGAAGGUGGCAGUACAGGCUCUCUAAAGCGCUUACCUCAGUUUGCACUUGUUGAAGAAGAUUCCUCCAUUCGAUUCUGGAUACUCUUUCCUCCACGGACGCCUAGUAUCUGCAAGUAUAAAUACACCACAUCCUGGGAGUAUCAAUGAGAACCCAAAGGAGAACACCGUAGGACUGUUUAUUUAGAGCAUGCAAAGGUGGAGGGUCCCUGCCGCUGACAGGAAGUGGUUGCCAUGAGUGCCAAACUUACUGCAACAUUGCUAUCAGCGUUAGAUAUCUCAAAAUGUGUGUGAGAGAGCCAUAUACAGCAAGGCUGCCGUACGGCAAUUAUCGCUGAUCGUCAUCUAAAGUGUAUGUUUACUAAAGGAUGCUCAUGAGACAUCACGAAUCGGUGUGGCACUCUCAAGACCAUAAGCGGGACAUAUUUCUGUUUGAUUUAAUGUGAAAUGGAGCAGUCACUUUAUUUGUGGCAGCUGGUGUUCACAAAUUCUGUACCUCCCAAGCAUAAUCCCCUGACACUUUUUGUGUGGUUUGUUUGUUCAAACUCGAUAAACUCUUUGUGUUGACAGCGA